UUCUUGAGGCUUUUGAGGAGUUGCAUUUGAGAGAUGAAUGGUUUUGCACAAAACCCAGUUGUGCAGUUGAUUCUCUUACAGUUCUCCCAAUUGGGACUCUUUUGAAGAGGAAGCUAAACAUUCAGAAAUGUACUGAAAGCGCAAUUAGUUCUGACCUGGAACUUACGGAGAGCGCGGCUUCAGUUUCCAUUGCUUUCAUCUGCUCUGCGACUUGAAACCAAAGUUCUCGAAAGGUGAAAGCUACUUCUGGGCUAGAGAG